AUUCCACUCGACUCGACGCAGCCUGCAGCCAGAGAGUCCCAAACCCUAGCCUCGCCGGAAUGAGCCGCCCCUCGCCGGCGCCCGCGCUGGACGGCGGGGUCCUCCUCGAAGAGAUCCUCCUCCGCCUCCCUCCGCAGCCCUCCUCCCUCCCGCGCGCAUCCCUCGUGUGCACGCGCUGGCGCCGCAUCCUCUCCGACCCCGGCUUCCGCCGCCGCUUCCGCGAGCACCACGGCCGGAACAACCCACCGCCACUGCUCGGCUUCUUCGAAAAGGAAUUCCGCGUAGACAAGCCGCCCAUCUUCAACACCACGGCGACGGGCGAGCGGGACCGCAUCCCACCCGCGCGCUUCUCCGCGCCAUGGAGCCUGGGCGAGGGCUGGGAGUUUCUCGGCUGCCGCCACGGCCUCGCCCUCCUCAUCUGCCGGGCGCGCCGCGAGGCAAUCGUGUGGGAUCCCCUCACGGGCCACCGUCGCCGCGUCGCGUUUCCACCGGGGUGGAAGUCCGUCCAGAACGCCGCGGUGAUGUGCGCCGCCGCCGGCCAAGAUGGGCAUGUGCACGGUGACUGCCGGUUCUCCCCAUUUAGAUUGGCCUUGGUGCGCGGGGGUUCUAACGGCACACGCCAUUUUGCAUGCCUCUACGAGUCAGAAUCAGGUGUGUGGGGGGAUAUUGCUUCAGUAGAGACUGAACAUUCGACUUCGACUUGCAUUGCGAACCCCAGCGUCCUGCUUAGGAAUUCAUUUUGCUGGCUUCUGUCUGGAGGUGCCAUCCUGGAGUUUGAUUUUCAAAACCAGAGCCUUGCGGUUAUCCAGAAGCCGGCGGACGCUCAUGCUGCCGACUACUACUGGUCCUUUUACGUGGUACAGACAGAGCAUAGUAGCCUGGGCCUUGCUGUUUUGUCAGAGACAGAUUUUGUAAGCAGCAUCAUCCAAUUAUGGGAGAGGAAAUCUAACUGCGAUGGUGUUGUUGGAUGGGAGCUGCAGAAAACCAUUCAACUAGACGGGCUCUUUUCACCAGGACCGACCAUGGGGCAAAAUGCGGUGAUGAUGCAAGGGUACAAUGAGGACACCGAUGCGAUUUUCUUAUCUACCUUUUUCGGCAACUACAUGCUCCAGCUUGAGACCACACAGUUCACAAAUCUUCCUAAAACACGAAGAAAUUGCAUGUCUAGCAGGACCUUUUAUCCCUACAGAAAUUUCUACAUUACAUGUAAUUCCUUGUCUCUGUCUGUCAUGACUCCGCUUGUAUUGGCAUAUUCAGCAUGAGCUUUCUGAUGAACCGGUAAGCAGCAAGUGGGCAACAACUGCGCUAAAACUCUAUUGCGAAAACAUUUUAUAUCAUAAGUGUUAUUUGAUUUCCACAUGUGGAGUACUAUAUAUCUUCAUAUUAAUCAUAAAUUCAUAAUAGCUAUUGGCAUCUAUAUUAUCCUACAUUGGAAAAAAAUUACUAGUUUCAUUCAACCCGAAUAGUAGUGAGUAUUGUCAUUUGCCACUUAAGUUUCUCAAAUUGAGCUUUUGUUUUUUACCCAUUUGGUAUUACUGGAAGGAAACCUCUCCAGAAUAGUAAUUCUGUUUGAAACCUCUGGACAGCUAAACAGUCCUAACAUGUAAUUCAUUACUAGGUAAAUGAUAAUUGUCGCUCUACCUUGUGCCUAGCAGUAGGUGCUGUUCCAUUUCCCUAUUCCUACCUUUGUCAUAAAUGGUAGUUUUUGCCUUCUCAUCAUUUUAGCUCUUCCACGAAUUUUCUUCGGUUUAUUGGAAUCCUUUUACCUGCAGGUAGCAGAGUUGGUGGUCAAGAUGGUGGAGCUGAAAUGUCAAUUAAUUAGAUGAUUGUCCCAUUAGAUGCAAUGCAAGCUGCUUCGUGGAGCCACCUUAUUGUUCUUUUGACUGGGUGGCGGGCCACAUGCUCAAAUUAGUGACAUCUCAGAGAUGGUCACCACAGACCUGACAAUUUCAUUGUAUCUAAGCUGCAUUAGUACUGACUGUUGUUUCAUGUUUUAUUGUUUGCUCCGAAUUGUCGAGCUGGUAGACUGAAAUAUGCUGCAAGCCCUGCAGAUUAGCUAUUUAACUAGUAGGAAUUCAGUGACUGCAUGUCAGACCGCUUCAGUUCUUAUGUCAUGUCCUAGCAAGUGUGUACUGUUUUUAAUGGAGUAAUGAGUGGAACUGCCAAUAUCUUUCAGAUUUGAACUCCUUCCUUCACUAGUUUUUAUAGUUUUAGUUAUGAAAUGAUUAGAACUAAUGUUGCUGUAACAGCAAGCAUGAUGCAGCAUGAACACUAAAGAAUAUAUCCAUAGUUAUGGUCUUAAGGAACUGGUAUAGAGUUCUCUUAAGAAAGGUUUUUUUUAAUGAAAAGUUUAGUGUGAAUGGGGUGUAUCUUCUCAGAUUUGUUUGCCCACCUCUAUUUUAACUUGCAGGCGGCACCCAUACAUUGGCCUUCUGUCUUUGUUUGUCCUACUGAAAUACUAGUUUCUUUCAGCUCCUUGCUUUUCACUGACUCACUAUUUUUCAUGUUGAUCAGAGAAAUGUUUAACUUAUUUGCCUUGAAAAGAAUCAGCCAUCAUCCGUGCCCUGAUAUCUUCUUUGCGAAACUGUGUGCAUCGAUUCCUCAUUCGUGUGACUGAUAAGCAGAGCAAGGAACAAGGUUUGCGCACUUGUUCAACCUCAGCCAUUCAGGAAUGCAUUUCAAUUGGUGUUGGAAUGUUGCCGUAGAGCUACAAAGCAGGGCAUGUGGUUAAUAGCACCGAAAGUUUCCGAGUUCUCUCCUGCCUUUGCUUAUGACCAAUGUAACUAUUACUCCCUCCGUACCAUAUUAAUUGUUAUUAAAACAGAUGUAUCUAGAUAUAUUUUAGUAUUAGAUAUUGCCGUUUGAGCGGCAAUUAAUACGAGACGAAGGGAGUAUAUUCCAAAUCAAUGAAGUGCACCAGAUGGCUUUAACGUAAAAAACAAA